UGGGUCUGACCUCUGGGAUAAUAUGAUGUUACCCAGCUAACAUCACUCUCACAGACUUUGAAACCUCACAUCAAAAUGUAUGUGUGUGGGUGUGUUUAGGUGGGUAUGAGUGUUUACAGUAUGUGUGUGUGUGUGUGUGUGUGUGAGUGCGUAGGUAUGUGUGUGCAGGUGGGGAACAGAGUGUAUAUGUGUGUGUGUAUGUGCGAGUGCAUAUGAGUGUGUGGGUGUGACUGUGUGUGUGUGUGUUUGCGUGUGGGGGAAUAUGCAUGUGUGUAUGUAUACAUGUGUGUAUGUGUGUCUGUGUGUGUGCAUAUGCAUAUGUGUGUGUGUGUGGUUGCAUAUGCGUGCGUGUGCCAGCAUGUGAGAGAGAGUGUGUGUGUGUGCGCAUGUGUGUAUGCAUGUCUGUAUGUGUGUGUGUGGUUGCAUAUGCGUGUGUGUGCGUGCAUGAGGGUGUAUGUGCGUGCGUGUGUGAGAGUAAGGCUGGAAACACACUUGAUUCAAAUUACGUGGCCGCGUACACAAAAUGGCUGUCAUGCGUAUCCUGCGGUCAUUCAGAGCGUCCUUUGUGCACGUCCUCAAAAAUGAACGCUACACGUCUGCAAGGUGCAGUACCCGCAUAAACCACGGGGGCAGUAUUCAUUUUACGCCUAGUGACCUGACUGACGCCAGGAAGCUAGGAAGGAU